UUGGGAAUAUUGGGCAAUGGGCGCAAGCCUGACCCGGCGACACCGCGUGGGGGACGAAGGCCUUCGGGUCGUAAACCCCUGUCAGGAGGGACGAAGUCCACCGCAAGGUGGGUGACGGUACAUCCAGAGGAAGCCCCGGCUAACUACGUGCCAGCAGCCGCGGUAAGACGUAGGGGGCGAGCGUUAUCCGGAUUCACUGGGCGUAAAGGGCGCGCAGGCGGUUACGUAAGUCCGGCGUGAAAUCCCACGGCUUAACUGUGGAACUGCGUCGGAUACUGCGUUGACUUGAGGAUGGUAGAGGCCAUUAGAACUAGCGGUGUAGCGGUGAAAUGCGCAGAUAUCGCUAGGAAUGCCGGUGGCGAAGGCGGAUGGCUGGGCCAAUCCUGACGCUGAGGCGCGAAAGCUAGGGGAGCGAA
rnacentral:rRNA from 1 species